rnacentral:rRNA from 1 species
UUUCCGGUUGAUCCCGCCGGACCCUACUGCUAUCGGGGUGGGACUAAGACAUGCAAGUCGUGCGUCUCUAAGCCAUGGUAGAGACGCGGCGUACGGCUCAGUAACACGUGGUUAACCUACCCUUAGGACGGGGACAACCCCGGGAAACUGGGGCUAAUUUCUGAUAGGUGAGGAGGCCUGGAAUGGUUCUUCGCCGAAAAGGCGUUGAAACCACGCUUAUCAACGUCGCCUAAGGAUGGGGCCGCGCCCGAUCAGGUUGUUGGUGAGGUAACGGCUCACCAAACCUAUAACCGGUACGGGCCGUGAGAGCGGGAGCCCGGAGAUGGGCACUGAGACAAGGGCCCAGGCCCUACGGGGCGCAGCAGUCGCGAAAACUCCGCAAUGCGCGAAAGCGUGACGGGGCUACCCCGAGUGCCGUCCGCUGAGGAUGGCUUUUCCCCGGUGUAAUGAGCCGGGAGAAUAAGGAGAGGGCAAGACUGGUGUCAGCCGCCGCGGUAAUACCAGCUCUCCGAGUGGUAGGGACGAUUAUUGGGCUUAAAGCGUCCGUAGCCGGCUUAGCAAGUCUCCUGUUAAAUUCAGCGACUCAAUCGUUGAGCCGCGGGAGAUACUACUAGGCUAGGAGGCGGGAGAGGUCGACGGUAUUCCCGGGGGAGGGGUGAAAUCCUAUAAUCCCGGGAGGACCACCAGUGGCGAAGGCUGUCGGCUAGAACGCGCUCGACGGUGAGGGACGAAAGCUGGGGGAGCGAACCGGAUUAGAUACCCGGGUAGUCCCAGCUGUAAACGAUGCGGGCUAGGUGUUGAGGUGGCUACGAGCCACUUCAGUGCCGCAGGGAAGCCAUUAAGCCCGCCGCCUGGGGAGUACGGCCGCAAGGCUGAAACUUAAAGGAAUUGGCGGGGGAGCACCACAAGGCGUGAAGCUUGCGGUUCAAUUGGAUUCAACGCCGGG